rnacentral:rRNA from 1 species
UACGUAGGGUGCAAGCGUUAAUCGGAAUUACUGGGCGUAAAGCGUGCGCAGGCGGUUUUGUAAGUUUGUCGUGAAAGCCCCGGGCUCAACCUGGGAAUUGCGAUGAAGACUGCAAGGCUUGAAUCUGGCAGAGGGGGGUAGAAUUCCACGUGUAGCAGUGAAAUGCGUAGAGAUGUGGAGGAACACCGAUGGCGAAGGCAGCCCCCUGGGUCAAGAUUGACGCUCAUGCACGAAGCGUGGGGAGCAAACAGG